rnacentral:rRNA from 1 species
GAAUGCUGACAUAAGUAACGAUAAAGCGGGUGAAAAGCCCGCUCGCCGGAAGACCAAGGGUUCCUGUCCAACGUUAAUCGGGGCAGGGUGAGUCGACCCCUAAGGCGAGGCCGAAAGGCGUAGUCGAUGGGAAACGGGUUAAUAUUCCCGUACUUGGUGUUACUGCGAAGGGGGGACGGAGAAGGCUAUGUUGGCCGGGCGACGGUUGUCCCGGUUUAAGCGUGUAGGUGUGUGUUCCAGGUAAAUCCGGUUCACUUUAACACUGAGGCGUGACGACGAGGCACUACGGUGCUGAAGCAACAAAUGCCCUGCUUCCAGGAAAAGCCUCUAAGCAUCAGGUAACAUCAAAUCGUACCCCAAACCGACACAGGUGGUCAGGUAGAGAAUACCAAGGCGCUUGAGAGAACUCGGGUGAAGGAACUAGGCAAAAUGGUGCCGUAACUUCGGGAGAAGGCACGCUGACACGUAGGUGAAGUGAUUUACUCAUGGAGCUGAAGUCAGUCGAAGAUACCAGCUGGCUGCAACUGUUUAUUAAAAACACAGCACUGUGCAAACACGAAAGUGGACGUAUACGGUGUGACGCCUGCCCGGUGCCGGAAGGUUAAUUGAUGGGGUCAGCGCAAGCGAAGCUCCUGAUCGAAGCCCCGGUAAACGGCGGCCGUAACUAUAACGGUCCUAAGGUAGCGAAAUUCCUUGUCGGGUAAGUUCCGACCUGCACGAAUGGCGUAAUGAUGGCCAGGCUGUCUCCACCCGAGACUCAGUGAAAUUGAACUCGCUGUGAAGAUGCAGUGUACCCGCGGCAAGACGGAAAGACCCCGUGAACCUUUACUAUAGCUUGACACUGAACAUUGAGCCUUGAUGUGUAGGAUAGGUGGGAGGCUUUGAAGUGUGGACGCCAGUCUGCAUGGAGCCGACCUUGAAAUACCACCCUUUAAUGUUUGAUGUUCUAACGUGGACCCGUUACCCGGGUUGCGGACAGUGUCUGGUGGGUAGUUUGACUGGGGCGGUCUCCUCCUAAAGAGUAACGGAGGAGCACGAAGGUUGGCUAAUCCUGGUCGGACAUCAGGAGGUUAGUGCAAUGGCAUAAGCCAGCUUGACUGCGAGCGUGACGGCGCGAGCAGGUGCGAAAGCAGGUCAUAGUGAUCCGGUGGUUCUGAAUGGAAGGGCCAUCGCUCAACGGAUAAAAGGUACUCCGGGGAUAACAGGCUGAUACCGCCCAAGAGUUCAUAUCGACGGC